UUGUUCCUUUACCACUAUGAAUUAGUUGCUGCACAGGCAAGCCUUCUUUUUGUUCAUUUUGCACUUGAGAAGAUGUUUACAUCUUUCUUUGCAUGCACUUUAGCUUUGUCCAAAUGAUGACAAGACCAUGGUUCUCAUGCAUACAUCAGUUUUGCAUAUGGAACUUCAUGUUUGCUUCAUAUUUGGCCCUUCUGAAAUCAGUCAGCUCAGCCAUUCUGACCCAUCCACUUGUGUUUCUGUCUGGAGGAUAUGUCCUGAGAAUCAAGCAAAGAUGGAUGGAUUAGGGUGGCUCCUACAUUUAAAUCUUACUCGCAUCGAAUAAUGCCUAUGAAAUUUGUCGAAAUCUGAUUUCUUCUACCCUAAGACUUGACAUAGGUUGAGUUUGUGCCCAUGUUUUCUCUGCUACUGAAACCUUGUUCUCUUAACAGGCAACAGUGAGGCAGCCUGCAGUGAAGAACACGCUGAAAGCUUUGUACUUUCAGUUCACCAUCGGAGUUGUACCGAUGUUUGCCAUUACCUUUAUCGGCUACUGGGCUUACGGAGCUUCAACAUCCACAUACUUGCUUAAUAGCGUAAGCGGUCCACUUUGGGUGAAGGCGGCUGCUAACAUUUCUGCCUUCCUGCAAUCGAUCAUUUGUUUGCACGUGAGUAAACACACGCUUGUUUGUAUCAUUAACCAUUUUUAGCAAUGCUUCACAAACCUGAAAACUUCCUCCGCUGGCUGCUGCAGAUAUUUGCGAGUCCAACUUAUGAGUAUUUGGACACCAAGUUCGGCAUUAGAGGAAGCGCCUUGCAGCUUAACAACUUGUCCUUCAGAAUUGCAGCAAGAGGCGGGUACCUCGUUAUCAGUACACUGGUGUCUGCUCUUCUACCGUUCCUCGGAGAUUUCGAAAGCCUUACAGGGGCAUUGAGCACGUUUCCACUAACAUUUAUCCUAGCAAACCACAUGUACAUUGUGGCAAAGAAGGAUAAACUGAGUACCUUGCAAAAGUUCUGGCAUUGGCUCAAUGUCAUUAUCUUCGCUCUCAUGUCCAUUGCAGCAACGAUUGCAUCUUUGAGGCUCAUAGCUGUUGAUUCCAAAGAAUACCAUGUGUUUGCUGAUGUGUGAUAUCUACAAGGGCUGAGAAAAAUGCCUAAAAUUAGCAGAAAUCCGAUUCGAAUUUAGCCUUCGCUUCGGUUUUGAUUAGACUAAUAAUAUCAAUGUAAUGUAUUCAUUCGGUUCUCGGUUCAUAACUUCUAAAAAAAACCACAAAUAUUAUUAAAACAGAACAGAAAAGAACCGAACCGAAUUGAACCGAAUUUUAUUUUAAUUUAAUUUUAGCUAGUGUUUAAUUUCUGAUGGUAUAAAAAUAAAUAAAUAUAUUUUAUUUCUAAGUCUACCCUUAAAAUUCAAAUUGGUUAUUUAUGGUGUUUAAUUACACACACAGUUAGAUAGUAGACAUCAGAAUGAUAGAAAUGGUGGAUGGUGGAGCCUUCCACCAUUUCUGAGUUAGACACAAACCUAAAAUUCGAUUCUAAAAGUGGGGGGGGGGGGGGGGGAUACAACCUGACUUUACAAAAAGGAGAUGUAGGAGCUACUUUCUCAACUUGAUGCUUGUUUCUUUCUCGAAAAGUCGUGUUUCCUUGGUUCAACAGAUGAUGAUGGAUCACAUCAAAUAAGGGUGGGAUCAGAUGUAUGGCCUCUUAAGAUAGUUGACAAAGCAAUCAGUUUCGUGAUGAAUACCCACGAUUCCAACUUACGUCUAAUUGUAUAACCCCCACAUGUCCCUGCAACUGGAUGCAGAAUCCGGUAAAUAAGCCUCCAAUGCGGAUAUCUUCGAUUUUCUUUCAUGUAUUUGCUUAGUAGCAGAUAUAAACAUCUUACCUGGAAACCAACUUUACAAGAAUGCAGAUUACACUGAGUAGUAGGAGAGGAACUCUCUCGUAUAUUGCGUGGCGUAAAUGGGUCUGCCAUUCUGAGUUGGGAGCAACAAAACCAGCCUCCUUUAAUAUUUGCC
rnacentral:lncRNA from 1 species